rnacentral:rRNA from 1 species
UACGGGGGGGGCAAGCGUUGUUCGGAAUUACUGGGCGUAACGGGCUCGUAGGCGGCCAACUAAGUCGGACGUGAAAUCCCCAGGCUCAACCUGGGAACUGCGUCCGAUACUGGAUGGCUUGAAUUCGGGAGAGGGAUGCAGAAUUCCAGGUGUAGCGGUGAAAUGCGCAGAUAUCGGGAGGAACACCAGUAGCGAAGGCGGCUCGCUGGGCCAUUCCUGACGCUGAGGCGCGAAAGCGUGGGGAGCAAACAGG